rnacentral:rRNA from 1 species
UACAGAGGUCUCAAGCGUUGUUCGGAUUCAUUGGGCGUAAAGGGUGCGUAGGUGGCGCUGUAAGUCGGGUGUGAAAUUUCGGAGCUUAACUCCGAAACUGCAUUCGAUACUGCGGUGCUUGAGGACUGGAGAGGAGACUGGAAUUCAUGGUGUAGCAGUGAAAUGCGUAGAUAUCAGGAGGAACACCUAAGGCGAAAGCAGGCUUCUGGGCCAACACUGACACUGAGCUGCGAAAGCUAGGGGAGCAAACAGG